rnacentral:rRNA from 1 species
UACGUAGGGUGCAAGCGUUGUCCGGAAUUAUUGGGCGUAAAGAGCUUGUAGGCGGUCUUGUAAGUCGGAUGUGAAAGCCCUUGGCUUAACCGAGGAAGUGCAUCCGAAACUGCAAGGCUUGAGUACGAAAGAGGAUCGCGGAAUUCCCGGUGUAGAGGUGAAAUUCGUAGAUAUCGGGAGGAACACCGGGCGGCGAAGGCGGCGAUCUGGGUCGAGACUGACGCUGAGGCGCGAAAGCGUGGGGAGCAAACAGG